UCAGGCGAUAGGUGUCACUUGUCUCGCCCAUUAACAACCACCGCCAAAAAUCAAGAUUCAGAUCCCAAGAAGGCCAGCAGAACGAAAAGAGGCGUGAAAAAUGAAAUGGGCUGUUCCUCCUCGGCCUCCUGCCGGCACUGCGCACUCGUUACCCGCCACCCCUCCCCGUCAUCCCCCAACGGCCCCUUUCCCCAGCAUCGGCUCCCAGCUCAGCCCUGCACUGCGCCAUCAGAUGGGUACGGAGGAGGGCCCGGCCGGUGCCCCUGCGGGAAGAGCCGAGCAGUAGCAACACACACGGCGCACCCCACGGAGGGGAGGACGGCCAACUCCUAAAGUCAGCACCGGCGUAGGUGGUGUCAACAAAGCGUCGUGCGGAGUCUCAAGCGUUCAAAGGUCCUCCCCAGCUCCCGUGACGCCGCCAGAUGGACAGGAUUCCUAAAGGUAUAACUGGAGGCUGAUAAGGCAACAGGAAUUAGACCCUGAACUCUGCUCCUCACAAGGCCGUGGCUUUCUUACCCUGCUCUUGCUUCGGAUACUCCAGCCUACAGAAGCAGAAGCAGCUCGCCAACCAGUUUUAUUCCCCUGAGACAUGAAAAACCCAAUCGAUCCAUGUCCACGUUGUCAUUCCUUCCGCGCCCCUCCUUACUCUUUAAGGAUUUGAGAAGAAGAUGGGGCGGGGGGGGGGGGGCAUCACGAAUACCUGGUAGGCACACAAACCUUCCAGGCAGGUGAACUGAGAGAACGAACAAUUAUUUGACUGAAUAAUGCUCUUCCUGGAAGAUACGUAUGCAUGCAUACCAUCAUUUACUGUAGCUUGUCUCCUCGCUUGCUUUCUUCAAUUUUGAAAUGAAAGAAGAAUCCAGAAAUCCUGGUGAACCACAGCCUAGGUAAUUGACCUUUUGCUCCUUUUGCACCCUGCAUUCUUUCUUCAAAGCACCCUGUAAUGACUUUUUCUGUUUGUCUUAGCUGGAUUGUGAGCUCCAAGGAGCAGAAGACGUGCUCUGUGUUUUAUCAUAUUUCUAGUAUCUAGCAGAACCCUGGUCCCCCUAAGCCCUUCAAUUUAUUUUUAUUGAAUGAAUGAAAAAAAGGUUAUCCAGGUAGUAAGAAGUUGUUGAUGCUACUAGGAAAUAUACAAACUUUAAUAUCGGUAAUAUUUAUGAACGUGUGCUAACUUGGUGCUAUAAAAUUAUUGUUUUUCCUCCUAUAGAGAUAAGUACUGAAAUACAUAAAACAAUUUCACUAAUAAGGAGGAGAGGGAGUGACUGGAAUGUAUAUGUGUUUCUCCUAACAAUUGUUGGUGAUCGCUUCUUACAGAAUGCUUGUUAGAUUCUAGACUGAUCAAACAAAGCACAAUAGAAAAUGAAUUUACCAUCUGCACUAGCCACAAGAAUGUCAUUUUUUUGUUCACUUGAAAAGCAACUGAUUUAUGAGUUUGUGAGCCUUGCAUUAAUGUUAAGAUUUAAAAAAACUGAAAGAAACGCAAACAAUGCAUUCAAUUAUGAGAUAUAAAUCUCAUCAAAAUAGACAUCAAAAAUAAAAUAAAAUAAAAAAUAGACGACAUCUCCAAAAUCUUUCCCAAAGCUUUGCAGAGAAUUGUCACAAAUUACAAAAUUAAUCUUUAAUUUGAAAAUACCUGGGUACAUUCUUAAUUAUCACUUCAGAAUGACACCGUGUAGGUAUAUUCCGCGUUAAAUUGCAAUGAAAUAAAAGGAUAAGCAAGAAUUAA